rnacentral:rRNA from 1 species
UAGAGUUUGAUCAUGGCUCAGAUUGAACGCUGGCGGCAUGCCUUACACAUGCAAGUCGAACGGCAGCGCGUCCUUCGGGAUGGCGGCGAGUGGCGAACGGGUGAGUAAAGCAUCGGAACGUGCCCGGUAGUGCGGGAUAGCUCGGCGAAAGCCGGAUUAAUACCGCAUGAGAUCCGAGGAUGAAAGCAGGGGACCCGCAAGGGCCUUGCGCUACUGGAGCGGCCGAUGUCAGAUUAGGUAGUUGGUGGGGUAAAGGCCUACCAAGCCUGCGAUCUGUAGCUGGUCUGAGAGGAUGAUCAGCCACAUCGGGACUGAGACACGGCCCGAACUCCUACGGGAGGCAGCAGUGGGGAAUUUUGGACAAUGGGCGCAAGCCUGAUCCAGCCAUGCCGCGUGCAGGAUGAAGGCCUUCGGGUUGUAAACUGCUUUUGUACGGAACGAAAAGCCCCCUUCUAAUAAAGGGGGGUGAUGACGGUACCGUAAGAAUAAGCACCGGCUAACUACGUGCCAGCAGCCGCGGUAAUACGUAGGGUGCAGCGUUAAUCGGAAUUACUGGGCGUAAAGCGUGC